GGAAACCGUUAGCGUUUAAUGUAAGACGUUAAUUUCAAUUUUAUUCGGUGUUAUUCACAAACUUGUCGAGUUAGCCUUAAGACAGUAAAUAUUUAUACUUUUAAACUUAAAAUUUGCCACUAACGUGAGGUAUGACUGCUGAAGUAUUGUUCUUGUGAAAAGAUGUGAUAGAGAGCCAGGCAGAUCAUGAGGUGGCACACAGGAGCUGCAGCUCUUGCAGCAGGUUGCAUCAGUCUCGUCAGAUCCGGCCCUCACAGCUGUGAACAGCGCCCCCCAUAGCACUUCACUGCAUGACUAACACAAGGUGAAACCACUGUCACAUUUUACAGUGUGUGUGUAUUUGUGAGACAACUGAGCUCAUAUUUGCCAUCAGCCAAGGACAUGUGACUCAGUCAGCUCAGAUAUCAGGGAGUGUUACUGAUUAGAGAUUUACAGCACAGAAUCAGAAGAAACGACCUCAACCUUGGCCAAAAGAUAACUGUAGUUAAUAUGAAACUAGUGAUACUGGAGAGAGCUCAUAACAGGAAGUACAGUCUUCACUUCAGCCCUUUAACCAACAUACAAAGACAUUGUAAUAAUCAGACGAACAAGUGUGUAGUUCAAAGCAUUUUAUUGCAUUUUUUUUUUUUUUUUAGAAAAACAAUACAAAAUUCUGUAGCAACGGUCAAAUGUUGCUUCGAGUGAACUGCAAUCAUUCACAUGGUACAGUAAAGUGCUUAUUUUAAAUCAAAGUAUUUCGUAUUAAAGGAUGUAUUUAUUUUAAAUCUUCUCCCAUGAACACGAUGGGCUUGGGGUGAUUCAGACAGUGUUUGAAUCAGGUGUCAACGCUCAAACAAUAAAAUAAAAUUGAGACUGAAUCAA